rnacentral:rRNA from 1 species
UUGGACAUGGGUUAGUCGACCCUAAGAGAUAGGGAAACUCCGUGUCAAAGUGCCCAAUCUUGGGCCGUCUAUCGAAAGGGAAUCGGGUUAAUAUUCCCGAACCGGAACACGGAUAUUGCCACUCCUCGUGGGUGGCAAGUGCGGCAACGCAACCGAACGCGGAGACGCCGGCGGGGGCCCCGGAAAGAGUUCUCUUUUCUUUUUAACAGGCUUUCACCCUGAAAUCGGAUUGUCCGGAGAUAGGGUUUAAUGCCUGGUAAAGCACCACACUUCUUGUGGUGUCCGGUGCGUUCUCGACGGCCCUUGAAAAUCCGCGGGAGACAAUGAUUUUCGUGUCCGGUCGUACUCAUAACCGCAGCAGG